CAGUAUAUAUGGUUCAGAAGAGGUUUUUUAGCUGAGCUCAUGAUGGAUUUGCUUUUUUCUGAUAAAGCUG
rnacentral:snoRNA from 1 species